GGGGGCGCGGCGUAAUACUGCAGUCGAGCGGAAGAUGGGAGCUUGUCCCGAUGUUAGCGGCGGACGCGUGAGUACACGUGGGUACCUGCCUGUAGACUGGGAUAACUCCGGAACCGGCCUAAUACCGGAUGCUUGUUUGAACCGCAUGUUCGACAAAAAGUGGCUUCGCCGACCACUUACAGAUGGCCGCGCGCAUUCGCCGGUUGGUGAGGGUAGGCGCAUCAAGCCACCAUGCGUCUCCGAUCUGAGACGGUAUCGGUCUAUACUGGGACUGAGCACGCUCAAACUCUAACGGGAGGAAGCAUUAGGGAAUCUUUCGCAAUGGACGAAAGUCUGACGCAGCACGCGCGUGAGUAUGAGCUUUCGGAUCUUAAGCUCUGUUGUAGGAAGACAGUCCGUUCGAAUAUGGCGGUACCUUGACGGUACCUAACCAGAAAGCCACGGCUAACUACGUGCCAGCAGCCGCGGUAAUACGUAGGUCGGCAAGCGUUGUCCGGAAUUAUUGGGCGUACAGGCUCGCAGGCGGUUCCUUAAGUCUGAUGUGAAAGCCCCCGGCUCAACCGGGAGGGUCAUUGGAUACUGGGGACUUGAGUUCUAGAAGAGAGAGUGGAUUCCACGUGUAGCGGUGAAAUGCGUAGAGAUGUGGAGGAACACAGUUGCGAAGCGACUCUCUGUCUGUAACUGACGCUGAGGAGCGAACGUGGGGGAGCGAACAGGAUAGAUACCCUGGUAGUCACGCGUAAACAUGAGUGCUACGUGUAGGGGUUUCCGCCCCUAGUGCUGCAGCUACGCAUAGCACUCGCUGGGAGUACGGUCGCAGACUGAACUCAAGAUGACGGGGCCGACAGCGUGGAGCAUGUGUAUCGAGCAUCGGAGACUACAGCUGAAUCUCUGACAUCUGGGAUGAGUCCCUCGGGCCGAGUGAGGUGCAUGUUUGUCAGCAGUCGGGGAGGUGUUAGUCCGACGGCACUGAUCUUAGUGCCAACUCAGGUGGGGCACUAAGGAUAUCUCCGGUGCAAC
rnacentral:rRNA from 1 species